GAUGAACGCUAGCUACAGGCUUAACACAUGCAAGUCGAGCGACCGGCGCACGGGUGAGUAACACGUAUCCAACCUGCCCUUUACUCGGGGAUAGCCUUUCGAAAGAACGAUUAAUACCCGAUAUAAAGGAUGGGGAUGCGUUGCAUUAGGUUGUUGGUGAGGUAACGGCUCACCAAGCCUUCGAUGGUGAGGGGUUCUGAGAGGAAGGCCCCCCGUAUUGGAACUGAGACACGGUCUAAACGCCUAGGGGAGGCAGGGGUGAGGAAGAUUAGGCAAUGGAGGCUAGUCUGAACCAGCCAAGUAGCGGGAAGGAGGAAGGCGUAUGGGACGUAAACUUCUUGGAUAUAAGAAUAUGUAUUAUAUGAAUAAGGAUCGGCUAACUCCGUGCCAGCAGCCGCGGUAAUAC
rnacentral:rRNA from 1 species